AGUGAACGCUGGCGGCGUGCCUAAUACAUGCAAGUCGAACGGAGUGGCGCACGGGUGAGUAAUGUAUAGCUAAUCUGCCCUACACUAGAGGACAACAGUUGGAAACGACUUUUAAUCCUCUAUAGUGUAGGAUGAGGCUAUAUUAGAUCAGCUAGUUGGUGAGGUAAUGGCUCACCAAGGCUAUGACGCAUAACCGGUCUGAGAGGAUGAUCAGUCACACUGGAACGGAGGCACGGUCCAGGCUCCUACGGGAGGCAGCGGUAGGGAAUAUUGCUCAAUGGGGGAAAGCCUGAAGCAGCAACGCCGCGUGGAGGAUGACACUUUUCGGAGCGUAAACUCCUUUUGUUAGGGAAGCGGUACCUAACGAGUAAGCACCGGCUAACUCCGUGCCAGCCGCCGCGGUAAUAC
rnacentral:rRNA from 1 species